GAAAUGCGAUAAGUAAUGUGAAUUGCAGAAUUCCGUGAAUCAUUAAAUCUUUGAACGCACAUUGCACUCGUUGGUAUUCCGACGAGUAUAUCUGUUUGAGAAUCAGUUUAAUUUAUCAACGUUUUUUGGUUUUUUCUUAAUUGAUUUUCCCAUUAACGCUGGAUUUGGAACCAAUUGUGUGACUCCUUCACCCGAGUCUCUCGAUGGAUCUUUUUAAAACUAUUUGUUGCUCUUAUUUUCUUAAGACUAAAAGGCAUGACCAAAGAACGAAAGUUCUAAGAAAGUGCUGAUUAAAAUUUUGAAGAGUUCUAAGAGAGUAACGUUAAAAAAUAUUAAACACGAAGUUUUAUUUAAUUAAGACUUUAAGACUUGAUCUCAAAUCAGAUAAGACUACCCGCUG
rnacentral:misc_RNA from 1 species